AACCAUACUCUUGCAGUCGUUCCCAUGCUUCAGGAAUGGACUCGUCCCUUGUUUGCUGGAAACUUGAAAUUCGUCCACGCAGGGC
rnacentral:snoRNA from 1 species